GCGCCCCCGCCAUAUGUACGGUAUGUUAUAUGUGUUUGGUGGGGGCGCGACGGUCACGCGCAGCGGAGCUUAUGGUUGCGUGCGUUGCAAGGCAAUGGUCACACUCGGAUCAAGCUAACGUAACAUCAGUGCAAACUCUGGUGCAAAGGAACGAAGCAAAGCAGCAGGAGGAGAAGAAAGCCCUGUAAAGAGCUUCAGGUGAAGAGACAUGUAGGACCACACCUAGCACAGCAGCCGGUGAAACAGAGCAUGGAGCAGGUGAAGGAGCAACAGACACAACUCGCCCUGAUUCUGCACUACAGCCUGCAGACACUUUCUCCCCCACAACAAGUUCUGAUGUCCAUGAGUCCAUCAGGGAAGAACCGAUUGAUCCUGCUGACUGGCCAACCCUGUCUGGCCAAAGUUACUAAAAAUUAAAAUAUUCUGAGACCAUUA